UAAAAAAAUAAAUAAUUCUUGGCUUGUCCAUUAUUAUCUAUUUACUGUGAACUGUAUUAUUAUUUGACAUUUGAGGGAUGUUCCAAUGUUAUAAGGAUAGACAUUGGAAAUGUUAACCGAGUCAUAAUCAGGUUUAGGCCUGGUAUCCUAUUAUUAUUUACCAAAUGAAUUCAGAAUUAAUAUUGUAACAUAGACCUAAAAAAUCUAUAAAACAACUUUUAACAACGGAUCUCUUGGUUCUCGCAUCGAUGAAGAACGUAGCAAAGUGCGAUAACUAGUGUGAAUUGCAUAUUCAGUGAAUCAUCGAGUCUUUGAACGCAACUUGCGCUCAUUGGUAUUCCAAUGAGCACGCCUGUUUCAGUAUCAAAACAAACCCUCUAUCCAACUUUUGUUGUAUAGGAUUAUUGGGGGCCUCUCGAUCUGUAUAGAUCUUGAAAUCCCUGAAAUUUACUAAGGCCUGAACUUGUUUAAAUGCCUGAACUUUUUUUUAAUAUAAAGGAAAGCUCUUGUAAUUGACUUUGAUGGGGCCUCCCAAAUAAAUCUUUUUUAAAUUUGAUCUGAAAUCAGGCGGGAUUACCCGCUGAACUUAAGCAUAUCAAUAAGCGGAGGAA
rnacentral:rRNA from 1 species